GCACCGUGUCGGCGAGAAAGGACGAAGCGCGCCUCAUGUUCGAGGGUGGCAGCAACACCACCUACCACGCCGCUGGCGCCGGCAGCCUGCGCCGCGGCAAAGUCACUGCGACGCUGGCCGCAGAUUUUUCGAACACCGAAGGCUUCGUGCUUCUGCCGCCGGAUCAGGCUGGCCCGGCCGACCCAUCCGAGGGGCGCACCGGUCGCACGGUCACGACCAAGGUCACGUACGAUGUGAACAGCGCAUGGCAGGCAUGGAUUGCCGGUGGCCUCUACGGCGGCGGCGGCGUGCCGUACAAGGCUGAAGACUACGAGAGUUUCAACGACAUCCGUGGCGGCGCGCGCUGGGUGAGUUCGCGCGGAGGGAUUGCGACGUUGUCGCUCUAUGCCAACCAGCGCGGCUCGAUCGGGGAGAACUACCUCUUCAACGCGGACCGCACCACCAGGACGAUCGGUCGUCGUCAGGACUCGCCGGCCGACUCGCGCGGCGUGUCACUGCAGUGGACGCAGAUGGUGUUCGCGCAGCACGAACUCACCGUUGGUGCCGACCUGUCGAGCGCGAGCGGUGAGCUGAAGGAGAGCUUCAACCCCAUCAA
rnacentral:misc_RNA from 1 species